rnacentral:tRNA from 1 species
GGUUGUGGCUUAGUGGUAGAGUGCUUGCCUAGCAUGUGUGAGGCACUGGAUUCAAUUAUCAGCACCA